rnacentral:lncRNA from 1 species
AUGGAAUACAACUUGUACAGGAAGAAAAAAAUUACAACUGUUUUCAAGGACAGCCCUUAUAAAUUGCAUGACCGUCUAGCAUUUGCAGCACUUACAAGACGUUUGUUAUUUGCCACCGAAGAACCAAUAGCCAACCCCCUCCAUUUUGAGAUCUGUUGGGGUUCUCCGUUCAAACUGCGACCUGUAACAACAGUUUUGAAAACACAUUUCCCUUCCAUGCAAAUGAUACAGGAAGCAAAGUUGUUAGAAAUCCAAAGACUUGAAAACAUUCAACGCCGGAAGAAGCUCGCAAAGCAAGUGGAGUCAGAAUUUAGAUGCAGGCUACUUUUGGAAAGAAGACCACUGCCCCCAAGUGGUCCCAACUAG